CGUACAUUUGCAUUUUGCAACAGAAACAGCUUCUUAUAGAGUAUUGUUUUACAGGCUAAUCUUUUUUUAUGUAAUGUAUUCAAAUGUAAUUAUAAUUAGGAUUGGGAUAAUACAAAAAUAUACUUUUUGCUUAGUGAUAAACUUAUCUAUUACAUUGUGACAGAAUUUGGUUUCUCAAUAAUUCUCAUCCUGAGAUUGAAUCCACAAAAUAAUUGAAGAAAUGGUUUCAGAUGAUUACGAACAAGCGCAGCUAUCUUUGGAGAGGUAAUGCACCUACUGAUAUCCCGUGAUAAGAACUUGGGAGAGAUUUAGUGAAAACCUGGAGAACGGCCACUUAGCUCACAAAUCUGAGCUGUUCACAUAAAGCUGAUAUUUGUGACAGCCAUUGUAGCUUUAAUCAUUUUCUCGAUUGAUCAAAGCACCACAGACUGCAUCGUUCGUCACCUCUGCCUUUAAGCGCGUUAUCACCUACUCCAAUAAGCCACCCCAAUAUCCUUAAUAAGCAAUAGAAGUUCUUAUCGACUGUGUAUGACUCAUUAAUAUCCAUGUUCUGUAUAAAUUUAUGUGAUAGGCCUACUGGUAUUAAUGUUGAUGUACCGUAAUGUUUUUUGCUCAUGUAUAAUUGAUAAUAAUACAUUAAAAAUAAAUAUAAUGUUAAAUUAUUA
rnacentral:lncRNA from 1 species